rnacentral:misc_RNA from 1 species
UUUGUGGAUUAGCUCAAUAUAGUAACCUUUUUGGUGUUACCAUUGGAUAUGCAAUCACCACAUCCAUAAGCAUGGUGGCAAUUAAAAGAUCUAACUGCUUUCAUAGGAAAGGUCAUGAUGCUGGUUGUCAUGAGUCAAACAAUCCCUUCAUAAUUAUCUUUGGGGUUAUGCAAAUCCUUCUAUCCCAAAUCCCAAAUUUUCACAAGCUUUCAUUCCUUUCCAUCAUUGCUG